AAUAAACACCUAGAAUCUAUCUUUGACCAAUGAAGCAAGAAUAGACAACAUGAAAAAGACAAUCUCUUCAACAAGUGGUGCUGGAAAAGCUGGAGAGCCUCAUGAAAAUCAGUGAAGACAGAACACACUCUAAGACCAUACACAAAGAUUAAAUCAAAGUCGUUUAGAUUCAAAUAUAAGUUGAAACCAUAAAUCUCUAGGAAAAAAAAAUAGGUAAAACACUCUGAUGUAGAUUGUAACAAUUUAUGUCAAUUGUAACAACUGACAUUGUAACAACUGUAACAAUUCUUAGGUCAGUCUCCCAAUGGAGUAGAAAAAAAACAAAAAUUAAAAAAUGGGACCUAGUCAAACUUACAAGUUUCUUCAUAGGAAAGGAAACCAUAAACAAAAUUCAAAGACAGCCUAUGGAAUGAGAGAAA